rnacentral:rRNA from 1 species
UACGGGGGGGGCAAGCGUUGUUCGGAAUUACUGGGCGUAAAGGGCGCGUAGGCGGCCUGCUAAGUCACACGUGAAAUCCCUCGGCUCAACCGGGGAACUGCGUGUGAUACUGGCGGGCUUGAAUUCGGGAGAGGGUUGUGGAAUUCCAGGUGUAGCGGUGAAAUGCGUAGAUAUCUGGAGGAACACCGGUGGCGAAGGCGGCAUCCUGGACCGAGAUUGACGCUGAGGCGCGAAAGCUAGGGGAGCAAACGGG